GACGAACGCUGGCGGCGUGCCUAACACAUGCAAGUCGAGCGGAAAGGCCACUUCGGUGGUACUCGAGCGGCGAACGGGUGAGUAACGCGUGAGUAAUCUGCCCUUGGCUCUGGGAUAGCCACCGGAAACGGUGAUUAAUACCGGAUAUGACCACUUCACGCAUGUGAUGGUGGUGGAAAGUUUUUCGGCCAGGGAUGUGCUCGCGGCCUAUCAGCUUGAUGGUGAGGUAAUGGCUCACCAUGGCUUCGACGGGUAGGCGGCCUGAGAGGGUGACCGAUCCGCCUGGGACUGAGGCACGGCCCAGCCUCCAACUGGAGGCAGCAGUGGGGAAAACUGGUCGAUGAGCGGAGGCCUGAUCAAGCAACGCCGGGUGAGGGAUGACGGCCUUCGGGUUGUAAACCUCUUGCGCCUAUGACGAAGCGCAAGGGACGGUAAUAGGUAAAGAAGCACCGGCCAACUACGUGCCAGCAGCCGCAGUAACAC
rnacentral:rRNA from 1 species